AAGUGUUGUCAGAAAAAAGUAACAGUAAGCUUUCUGACACUUGUUAAAGACAGCCGGAAGACCUUCUUCAAGAAGGGAGCACCAUGACGGUGUUUGGCAGUGAGACCCAGAGGCCUGACUCCACGCAAACAAGACGGGAAGGCUCAGUGACCGCGAGCACUGUCAGCGAUUCAGUGGUCUGCGUGGGCUUCGUUUAUACCGUACCCUCGGCCUGCCCUCGGCCUGCCGUCAUAUCUGACACUGGAGCUCGAUCCGGUCUUUGUAGCGAGGUGAAGGAAUGAAGAGAGCCAUGAGUGGAGACACGGGCCGUCACUGAGAGAACAAGAAAACAGGAAAAAAAGCUUACUGCUACC
rnacentral:lncRNA from 1 species